CCUCAACAUUAUAUAUGCAUAUAGUUGCAGCUCUUUUAUGUCUUUUUAUUAUAAUAAAUUAAAUAAAAUUAAAAUCAAAUUAGCAAAGAAGAAGGAAGCUAAAAGUGAACGUUGCUUUGAGGCUUUUAUUCUGAAGGGUGUAACAGGAAGUUUUGGUUCCACUAGUUUCCCUGAGUAACUCCCCAUCAGCUCGCUCCUGCCCUCACCGGAGACAUGGGACUGAGGAGUCACCGAGGGGGGAACUCUUCAGCGACUCAACACAACAAACCAAACUAAGGAAAGCAGCUGUGGCUCACCAUGUCGUCCGGACUCUUUAUUUUCUCACCUGAGUUUUCAACUUUCACUCAGUGACAUUAAAAAAAAAGGACCGGAAGAGAAGCUAGAUAAAUGACAUCCGUGCAUUUUUGAUUACCUGGGGCAAAGUGCCACACCUUCGCUCACCAAGACAGCUCCACGACACAGCUGGCCAAAUGGGGUGCCAGUGCUGCCGGAUGAUUCAAAGUAAUCAGGAAGAACUCCCUCAAGACCUCUUGUUACGGAGAAAAGGAGGAGGGAGGAGAAAGAGGAAGGGUUGCUCUACCAGGAAGGGCUGUGUGUAAAGAAUUACAAGAAAACUAUAUAAAGAUGUUACAC
ensembl:lncRNA